GGGUGAAUGACAUGAAACAAUAUGGUUAGGUCACGUUUAUCCCCUACUCGACCUUAAAUAUUGAUUGAAUCUAAUUUUUGAACCUGAACCCAACCUUAGGCCUGUCGAGACACAACCCUAUUCAGACUCAAUUAUGAACAGGAUAUACCUGGUGAGCGGGUAGGGUCGGGUAGGAUCGAGUCCUACUCACCCUAGCAUAGUAGAGAGGGGUUUGGGAGUGAAUGAUAGAAAGACGAAAUGACUUGAGACUGUCUGAAAUUGACGAUGCAUCAUAAGGAAGAUAGUGGUGCUUGGACCGGACACUGGUGUGAAGG
rnacentral:lncRNA from 1 species